rnacentral:tRNA from 1 species
CAAGACAUAACUUAAACUUAGAGUACCCAGCUUACACCUGAACGAUGCCCAAUAAAUGGGCUGUCUUGA